UAUAUAUAGACUGACACUUAAUAUUAUUUUGGCUGAAUUCAGAACAGAAAGUGUUUCUCUCUGUGUUCAUUACAGAACAGAGCCAGCAUUCGUAUGUGAUUCUAAUGAUAAUAGUCAGUGUGUGGCUGUUGGUGUUCAUGUCUGUUAUAAUGAUGUACUGCUGCUGCAGGAAAUUGUGUCAAGCACAACAAAAGGAACAGCAAAACAUGUCAGAAUACACACAGAUCAUCUACUGCCUUCAGAAGGAAGAUCUGCCAGAGUUAGGCUUGCUGGAUGUGGACAGAACAGAGACAACUGUGAACUAUCGACACACAACACAGUGAAACUCAGUUUAUGAAUAACUGAACAUCUCUGGGAAAUGUUUGUCCUGAAGUAGACCUCCUGUGUUUUUGGUCGUCACCAGAAGUCCUCAUGUUUGAGCAGAAGCAUCAUGAUGAUUCAUUGUCUGCGGUGCUGAAGGAUUCAAAGGAGAUGAGCAGGUGUGCGGAUGAUUCGAGGAUGCUUGAUGAUGGACUUCUGUAGAUUACUGCAGUUGUUAUUAUCUGAUCUGGAUUUACAGUUAAAGUGGAGAGAAGAACAUCAAUAUGAGCAUUAAUCAGAAGACAUGUACAAGAGCAUUGUUUGGAAAAUAAUUACAAUUUAGGCUAUUUUCAGUUUCACUAACCUGCUCAAAACUAGUUCAAAUUAAAACAUGAUUUAUCUAAUAUAUAAUGACGUUUCUAAAUAUCUUUU